AAUAUCCGGUGUUGGAGGUGGAGCCUGGUGGGAGGUGAUUGGAUCAUGCGGGCAGAUUUCUCAUGAAUGGUUUAGCAGCAUCCCCUUUGUCCUGCCCUUGGAACAAUGAGUUAUCUGUCAGAUCUGGUAGUUAAAGAGUGUGUGGCACCUCCCCCUCGCUCUCUUCCUCCUGCUACUGCCAUGUGAGAUACCUGCCCCUACUUUGCCUUCUUCCAUGAUUGGAAGCUUCCUGAGGCCACCCCAGAGUCAGAAGCCGCUAUGCUUCCUGGACAGCUUGCAGAACCCUCCUCCAUUAACCCCUGCAGAGUAUUCACUGACUGCUGAAACUAGAGCAUCACUGAGAAGCAAGAGAUAGACUGACCUAACUAGAGGGAGAGCUGCCAUCCAGGAUGAUGCCACCAUCACAGGAGCAAUGUGAGGAAAGUGGAAUGAACUUGGACUUUGAAGGCAAACUAACCUGGAAUCAAAUACUGGCUCUGCUGUUUGCAAGUGUGAUCUUUGGGUAUGCUUCCUAAUCUGUGAGCUUCAACUUCCUCCUCUGUAAACCAAGAUCAAAGACAAACAGGGAAACCUACUUGUCUGGUGCCCAUCCCCUUGGCAGAACACUCCUCUGAAGGAUGACAGUUUGGCUGUGCCAGGGCAGAGCUGCCGACACCAAAUGAGCCUUCAUAGCAACUAUCUGAUGAGGAACUCACUGGCCUACCUUUCCUUGACAGCUGGGGCCUGCCAGCCUUGAAGCAUGACUCCACAACGCCCCUACCCAAGGCCAUGGAGGUUGCUGCUGAUGAGCAAGCUGUUUUAUAUUUAAUCCAGGUUUCUGCUUGGAGAGGAAGAAGGUAGAGGAGCCAGCGAAGGUUUGUCUGAAUGAUACUUGCAGAAAAAACACUGGUAACAGUCACAAAACUUUGAAAAUUAAAGUGCCAGCGAGGUGGCUUUUGGUGGCCAGAUGAAAGCUGUUAACCCCAGCUUUUACAAAUGCUGGGCUUUGAGUAAGAGGAGAGUGUCUUUCUGGAAAAGUUUGAGACCUCUUACUAUUGUAGCAGCAAAAGCAUCCACGGCUAGUGUUUUCCAAGCUCACUGCUACUUGUUGCAGUCUAGCAGUGUUGUGUCUCCUGAAAUUCCUACCUUUCUUGAUGGAUGUAAAAGAAGUACCAAUUUAUUAAGCUCCUAGUAUGUGCCAGAUGCUCCAUAUAUGUUACUUUUGAUCUUCAGAACCACUCAGCAACUUACUGCUUCUCCUCACUCCCAAUUACAUAGAUGAUGAAAUUGAAGCAGAGUAGUUUGUCUAGGAUUACAGAGCUAGGAGGGACCAGAGUUGGGAUUCUCCCUCAGUUCUAAUACACAGUAUGCUACAUUUCCUGUCGAGUAGUAACAAAGCUUCUAAGAAAUCUGAGUUUUCAUUUGUUAAAACUGAAUUUUUAAGAAAUGUAGACAGGAGCACUAAGUACUCUAUAGUUUAACGUUAAUAAUGGUACAAGUAUAUAACCAGUUUCUCAUGCACUGGCAUAACAUACUUCAGAGGGUACACCAGGGCUGGAUGAAUAUCUGAACCCAAAAAUAUCUGAGACAGGUCUCAGUUAACUUAGAAAGUUUAUUUUUCCAAUUUUGAGGACAUGCACCCAUGACACAGCCUCAGGUGGUCCUGACGACAUGUGCCCAAGGUAGUUAGGGCAAAGCUUUUUUUUAUACACUUUAGAGAGACAGGAGAUAUCAAUCAAUAUAUGUAAGAUGUACAUUGGUUAUGUCCAGAAAGACAGGACAACUAAAGCAGGGAGGGGGCUUCCAGGUCUUAUGUAGGUGAGAGAUAAAUGGUUGCAUUCCUUUGAGUUUCUGACUAGCUUUUCCAAAGGAGGCAAUCAAAUAUGCAUUUAUCUCAGUGAGCAGAGGGGUGACUUUGAAUAGAAUGGGAGGCAGGUUUGCCCUAAACAGUUCCCAGCUUGACUUUUCCGUUUAGCUUAGUGAUGUUGGGGCCCUGAGAUUUAUUUUCCUUUCACACUUCUUCCAUUUUCUUUUUAAAAAUCUUUUGAAGAAAGCAUUUUAGAAGAAAAUGAGUCUCUGCUCUCAUGGCUAGGAUAGUUUAUUCCUACAGGGGUAGGUCCCAAGUUAUUAGGAAAGCUCAUUUUUAGCAGAUUGAGAAGUCUCAUGUCCUGUGAAGAGACAAUAGUAGGAGGAAGGGAGAAAAACAACAAACAAGAGAACAAUCCUAGAAAAUCUAUAUAGACCACAUUACUUUGAAGUCCAUACAUCAGUAGGUAGGUAUGAAAGUGGCUUAUGUACCUAAAUAGUUUGCUUUUAUUUUCUUCUGAAGUUUAAGUUGUCUAGAUUCAGUUUGCAGGACUUUAGAAAGUACAGCUUAGUUUUCAAUUAUUUCGAAUUAGGAAAAAUGGGGUGAGGGGAAGGAAAAGAAGGAAAAAAAUUGAAAACAUUAUUUUGGAGACUUGUAGCCAGGAAAAAUUAGAAUUCAGUCUAAACUGUAGAAAAUAAUAAAAAUAGAAAAACAUUAGGCAAGACUAAAAUCUAACAACAGGUGCACUAUAGUUUUUGAAACGUAUUUUUUCUCUCUCCAGUUUCCCAUUUUCACUAAAAACAAAUCAUAGAAGAACCAAUUUGCUUUAUUAUACUUGGCCAGAUUAUUUGUAUGAAGUGAAGCAAGAAUAAUUAUUUUUCACAUAGGCUUUUAAAAUUAGCUUUGAUGGACUUCUUCCAUAGAAGGAAUCUCACAUAAGCCUUUUUUAAAGCCAAGCCCAGCCACAGAUUUGUACCAUCAAAUACCUAUGAGUUGGGUGAAUUAUUCUCCUUUUGAGUUCCAACAUAACUUAGGGCUCUUGGGCCUGUCAGAAAGUGACAUUCUUUACUUACCACAGGUCAGGAACACCGUUCAGGGACUGUGCAGACAAGGUAUGAGGCCAGUUUCCCCAAGGGGUUUUUAUUGGCUCUAUAAAUCAAGUUUAAUACCUUAAAGGAAAGCACACCAUUCCAGCCAAAGACUCAGUAAAAUAACCAGUUUCUCCAAUUGUGUCCUGUUACAAAUAAAAACAGAUUCUUAUUUCACUUAUGCAAAUAACUAUAUUGCCGUAAGUCACGAAUACUUACAAGUAGUUUCCAAAUUUUGGAGAAAUCAGGUAGAGAGAAACAAAUAAGCUCCAAAUUUCGUUCAUAGGAGUAUACUUGUUAAAAGCUGUCAAUAGCUCAAAAGAAAAGUUUCCUUGACUCUGAAAAACAAAACAAAGGAUCAGCAACGUUUUGUGCAAAAAGUCAAAAAGACUACUUCAGUCUUCUACUGGUUCAGUCCAUGCAGUUAAUUUCUGUUCUGCUUGAUAUUCGUGAACAUUUCAGCUCUCCGUAAGUCCUGAAAGUUUUUCCUCUUUUCUAAUGUCACAAUCUCCAAAGUUAUCAGAAAACUGCAUUCAAGAACACAUGUUAAGAGUUUUAUAGCUGAUUAUAAAACUACCUUCAAAAGAGGAACAAAACAAGACAACAAUUGUCCAUGGAUGACAAAAAAUUUUAGGGCAGCCAUAGUCAAAGACACAGUUGACAAGAAAAUUUGUUACCUCUGUGGCAUACAAUAAUUUAACAUAACAAUUAUAAUUACUGAUAACAUACACUAAGUCAUAUCAGAAUUUUAGGAGUUUCCUAUUAUUUUGGAACAGAUACCAAUAACACAUUUAUACAAAUACAGCCC
rnacentral:lncRNA from 10 species